rnacentral:rRNA from 1 species
UACAGAGGGGGCAAGCGUUAUUCGGAAUUAUUGGGCGUAAAGGGCGCGUAGGCGGCGAUUCAAGUGACGGGUGAAAUCCCUCGGCUUAACCGAGGAACUGCCUGUCAGACUGGAUUGCUUGAGGCCGGGAGAGGCGAGUGGAAUUCCCAGUGUAGCGGUGAAAUGCGUAGAUAUCUGGAGGAACACCGGUGGCGAAGGCGGCAUCCUGGACCGGCAUUGACGCUGAGGCGCGAAAGCCAGGGGAGCAAACGGG